CAAAUCCUACCAACUAUAGGACUGUACAAUAAACCAAAUCCUACCAACUAUAGGAUUAUACAAUAAACCAAAUCCUACCAACUAUAGGACUGUACAAUAAUAAAGAAAAACAAAUCCUACCAACUAUCGGACUGUACAAUAUAUUCUAAUACGCCCCCUCAAGAUGGAGUGCCGGAGGACACGCCAAUCUUGGACAUCAGCAGAAGAAGCCGAGGAGGUCGUAACCCGUAAGGUGGCAAUCGGCUGGAGAAGAUCGUUGGAUGUCGUAGCGACCAUGAAGCGCGAGGCAGAGGAGGCGCUGAUCGACGUCGAGAGAGAGAGGACUGUUGGUUAGUGCAGCGGUGGUGCGGUAAGACGCCGGAGAGAGGCGGUGGACCGAGAAGGUCGGCGGCGGCGGGCUGCCGGUUAGUGCAACGGCGGCGGCAGGCUGCCGGUUAGUGCAGCGGCGGCGCGGAUAGGAAAGAAUUAGGAUUCCUUUGGCGAUAGCCACUGACUCUGAUACCAUGUAGAGAGCUUUGGGAGAAUUUUUGGGAGAAGUGAUUAGUUUGAGGCUUCUCACAAAAUAUAUUGCUUACAAAGGUAUAUAUAGAGUACAGAGAGAAACCA
rnacentral:lncRNA from 1 species